rnacentral:tRNA from 1 species
AGAAAUUUAGGUUAACCAAACCAAAAGCCUUCAAAGCUUUAAACAGGAGUGAAAAUCCCCUAAUUUCUG